rnacentral:rRNA from 1 species
CCUACGGGGGGCAGCAGUGAGGAAUAUUGGUCAAUGGGAGAGAUCCUGAACCAGCCAAGCCGCGUGAGGGAAGACGGCCCUAUGGGUUGUAAACCUCUUUUGUCGGAGAACAAAACCCGGGACGUGUCCCGGACUGCGUGUAUCCGAAGAAAAAGCAUCGGCUAACUCCGUGCCAGCAGCCGCGGUAAUACGGAGGAUGCGAGCGUUAUCCGGAUUUAUUGGGUUUAAAGGGUGCGUAGGUGGUUAAUUAAGUCAGCGGUGAAAGUUUGUGGCUCAACCAUAAAAUUGCCGUUGAAACUGGUUGA